UACGUAGGUGGCAAGCGUUGUCCGGAUUUACUGGGCGUAAAGAGCACGCAGGCGGUCGGAUUAGUCGCGUGUGAAAGCCCCCGGCUCAACUGGGGAGGGUCACGCGAUACUGUUCGACUCGAAGGCAGGAGAGGGAAGUGGAAUUCCCGGUGUAGUGGUGAAAUGCGUAGAUAUCGGGAGGAACACCAGUGGCGAAGGCGACUUCCUGGCCUGUUCUUGACGCUGAGGCGCGAAAGCUAGGGGAGCAAACGGG
rnacentral:rRNA from 1 species